rnacentral:rRNA from 1 species
AUGGCCCCCAAGGCGGAGAAGAAGCCGGCGGCCGCGGAGAAGACCCCUGCGGCGGAGAAGACCACGGCGGGGAAGAAGCCCAAGGCCGAGAAGCGGCCGCCGAAGUCCAAGGAGGGCGGCGCCGACAAGAAGAAGAAGAAGGCCAAGAAGAGCGUGGAGACGUACAAGAUCUACAUCUUCAAGGUGCUGAAGCAGGUGCACCCGGACAUCGGCAUCUCCUCCAAGGCCAUGUCCAUCAUGAACUCCUUCAUCAACGACAUCUUCGAGAAGCUCGCCGGCGAGUCCGCCAAGCUGGCCCGCUACAACAAGAAGCCCACCAUCACGUCCAGGGAGAUGCAGACCUCCGUCCGCCUCGUCCUCCCCGGCGAGCUCGCCAAGCACGCCGUCUCCGAGGGCACCAAGGCCGUCACCAAGUUCACCUCCUCUUAG